GGGUUGUGAGGUUAAGCGACUAAGCGUACACGGUGGAUGCCCUGGCAGUCAGAGGCGAUGAAGGACGUGCUAAUCUGCGAAAAGCGUCGGUAAGGUGAUAUGAACCGUUAUAACCGGCGAUGUCCGAAUGGGGAAACCCAGUGUGAUUCGUCACACUAUCGUUAACUGAAUACAUAGGUUAACGAGGCGAACCGGGGGAACUGAAACAUCUAAGUACCCCGAGGAAAAGAAAUCAACCGAGAUUCCCCCAGUAGCGGCGAGCGAACGGGGAGCAGCCCAGAGUCUGAAUCAGCUUGUGUGUUAGUGGAACGGUCUGGAAAGUCCGACGGUACAGGGUGAUAGUCCCGUACACCAAAAUGCACAGGUUGUGAACUCGAAGAGUAGGGCGGGACACGUGGUAUCCUGUCUGAAUAUGGGGACCAUCCUCCAAGGCUAAAUACUCCUGACUGACCGAUAGUGAACCAGUACCGUGAGGGAAAGGCGAAAAGAACCCCGGCGAGGGGAGUGAAAAAGAACCUGAAACCGUGUACGUACAAGCAGUGGGAGCACCUUCGGGUGUGACUGCGUACCUUUUGUAUAAUGGGUCAGCGACUUAUAUUCUGUAGCAAGGUUAACCGUAUAGGGGAGCCGCAGGGAAACCGAGUCUUAACUGGGCGUUAAGUUGCAGGGUAUAGACCCGAAACCCGGUGAUCAGCCAUGGGCAGGUUGAAGGUUGGGUAACACUAACUGGAGGACCGAACCGACUAAUGUUGAAAAAUUAGCGGAUGACUUGUGGCUGGGGUGAAAGGCCAAUCAAACCGGGAGAUAGCUGGUUCUCCCGAAAGCUAUUUAGGUAGCGCCUCGUGAAUUCAUCUUCGGGGUAGAGCACUGUUUCGGCUAGGGGGUCAUCCCGACUUACCAACCCGAUGCAAACUACGAAUACCGAAGAAUGUUAUCACGGGAGACACACGGCGGGUGCUAACGUCCGUCGUGAAGAGGGAAACAACCCAGACCGCCAGCUAAGGUCCCAAAGUCAUGGUUAAGUGGGAAACGAUGUGGGAAGGCACAGACAGCCGGGAUGUUGGCUUAGAAGCAGCCAUCAUUUAAAGAAAGCGUAAUAGCUCACUGGUCGAGUCGGCCUGCGCGGAAGAUGUAACGGGCUAAACCAUGCACCGAAGCUGCGGCAGCGACACUAUGUGUUGUUGGGUAGGGGAGCGUUCUGUAAGCCUGCGAAGGUGUGCUGUGAGGCAUGCUGGAGGUAUCAGAAGUGCGAAUGCUGACAUAAGUAACGAUAAAGCGGGUGAAAAGCCCGCUCGCCGGAAGACCAAGGGUUCCUGUCCAACGUUAAUCGGGGCAGGGUGAGUCGACCCUAAGGCGAGGCCGAAAGGCGUAGUCGAUGGGAAACAGGUUAAUAUUCCUGUACUUGGUGUUACUGCGAAGGGGACGGAGAAGGCUAUGUUAGCCGGGCGACGGUUGUCCCGGUUUAAGCAUGUAGGCUGGUUAUCCGUGCAAAUCCGGAUAAUCAAGGCUGAGGUGUGAUGACGAGGCACUACGGUGCUGAAGUAACAAAUGCCCUGCUUCCAGGAAAAGCCUCUAAGCAUCAGGUAACAUCAAAUCGUACCCCAAACCGACACAGGUGGUCAGGUAGAGAAUACCAAGGCGCUUGAGAGAACUCGGGUGAAGGAACUAGGCAAAAUGGUGCCGUAACUUCGGGAGAAGGCACGCUGGUGUGUAGGUGAAGUCCCUGCGGAUGGAGCUGAGACCAGUCGAAGAUACCAGCUGGCUGCAACUGUUUAUUAAAAACACAGCACUGUGCAAACACGAAAGUGGACGUAUACGGUGUGACGCCUGCCCGGUGCCGGAAGGUUAAUUGAUGGGGUUAUCCGUAAGGAGAAGCUCUUGAUCGAAGCCCCGGUAAACGGCGGCCGUAACUAUAACGGUCCUAAGGUAGCGAAAUUCCUUGUCGGGUAAGUUCCGACCUGCACGAAUGGCGUAAUGAUGGCUGUCUCCACCCGAGACUCAGUGAAAUUGAACUCGCUGUGAAGAUGCAGUGUACCCGCGGCAAGACGGAAAGACCCCGUGAACCUUUACUAUAGCUUGACACUGAACAUUGAGCCUUGAUGUGUAGGAUAGGUGGGAGGCUUUGAAGCGUGGACGCCAGUCUGCGUGGAGCCAACCUUGAAAUACCACCCUUUAAUGUUUGAUGUUCUAACGUUGGCCCUUACCGGGGUUGCGGACAGUGUCUGGUGGGUAGUUUGACUGGGGCGGUCUCCUCCCAAAGCGUAACGGAGGAGCACGAAGGUUAGCUAAUCCUGGUCGGACAUCAGGAGGUUAGUGCAAUGGCAUAAGCUAGCUUGACUGCGAGCGUGACGGCGCGAGCAGGUGCGAAAGCAGGUCAUAGUGAUCCGGUGGUUCUGAAUGGAAGGGCCAUCGCUCAACGGAUAAAAGGUACCCGGGAUAACAGGCUGAUACCGCCCAAGAGUUCAUAUCGACGGCGGUGUUUGGCACCUCGAUGUCGGCUCAUCACAUCCUGGGGCUGAAGUAGGUCCCAAGGGUAUGGCUGUUCGCCAUUUAAAGUGGUACGCGAGCUGGGUUUAGAACGUCGUGAGACAGUUCGGUCCCUAUCUGCCGUGGGCGCUGGAGAAUUGAGGGGGGCUGCUCCUAGUACGAGAGGACCGGAGUGGACGCAUCACUGGUGUUCGGGUUGUCAUGCCAAUGGCACUGCCCGGUAGCUAAAUGCGGAAGAGAUAAGUGCUGAAAGCAUCUAAGCACGAAACUUGCCCCGAGAUGAGUUCUCCCUGAGACUUUAAGUCUCCUGAAGGAACGUUGAAGACGACGACGUUGAUAGGCCGGGUGUGUAAGCGCAGCGAUGCGUUGAGCUAACCGGUACUAAUGAACCGUGAGGCUUAACCUUACAACGCCGAAG
rnacentral:rRNA from 1 species